rnacentral:lncRNA from 1 species
AUCGAGUCACACGUGCCAUCACUCACAUGAUUGGCUUGUUGGGCACCUAUGACUAGCAGGUACCACCGCCCAGACUAGCGGUACACAUUGCCCACUUCCGAUGUGGGACUAAUGGGAUGUUACAAUAUCCCCAACUCAAUUAGCUUGACGUCCUGUGCAUGUGAGGAUUAACUCAAUGGUGGCUCCACGCCGUGAUGAAUUUUCCGACUCCAUCCAUGGGUAGCCCUUUCCUACUCGAGCCCUCUCACCCUGCCCAAAUGCUAGGUCGGCUCUGAUACCAAAUGUCACGACCUGAGUCUGAUGAGCUAACUGGCCAAUAACUCCAUUUUGGUCCUUCAACCACGGACCAAAA